rnacentral:lncRNA from 10 species
AUGGUGAAUGUUCCUGAAACCCGCCGGACUUUCUGUAAGAAGUGUGGCAAGCACCACCCCCACAAAGUGACACAAGGCAAGGAUUCUUGGUAUGCCCAGGGGAAGUAGUGUUAUGACAGGAAGCAGAGUGGCUAUGGUGGGCAGACUAAGCCGAUUUUCCGGAAAAAGGCUAAAACUACAAAGAAGAUUGUGCUAAGGCUUGAGUGCCUUGAGCCCAACUGCAGAUCUAAGAAUGCUGGCUAUUAAAAGAUGCAAGCAUUUUGAACUGGAAGGAGAUAAGAGAAAGGAACAAGUGAUCCAGUUCUAA